rnacentral:rRNA from 1 species
GGCCGAUUAGCUUGUUGGCGAGGUAAUGGCUCACCAAGGCAUUGAUCGGUAGCCGGACUGAGAGGUUGGCCGGCCACACUGGAACUGAGACACGGUCCAGACUCCUACGGGAGGCAGCAGUGGGGAAUCUUGCGCAAUGGACGAAAGUCUGACGCAGCAACGCCGCGUGGGGGAUGAAGCUUCUCGGAGUGUAAACCCCUUUCGACCCGGACGAAUGCCCGAAAGGGUUUGACGGUACGGGUAUAAGAAGCCCCGGCUAACUACGUGCCAGCAGCCGCGGUAAAACGUAGGGGGCCAGCGUUGCUCGGAAUUACUGGGCGUAAAGGGUCCGUAGGCGGUGCGGCAAGUCGGAAGUGAAAUCUCUGGGCUUAACCCAGAGGCUGCUUCCGAAACUGCCGUGCUAGAGUGCGAGAGAGGCGAGUGGAAUUGCGGGUGUAGCGGUGAAAUGCGUAGACAUCCGCAGGAACAUCCGAGGCGAAAGCGGCUCGCUGGAUCGCAACUGACGCUGAGGGACGAAAGCUAGGGGAGCA